CCACACUCACACUCCCCCUCAUACCUGCUCGCACCCCCACACUCACCCUCACGCACACUCACCCUCACACACACCCUCACACACUCACCCUAAAACGUGCUCACAUCCCCACACUCACCCUCACACUCACCCUAACACACACCCUCACACGCUCACCCUCACACAUACACCCCCCCACACUCCCUCACACCCGUUCACACACUCACCCUAACACGCUCACACACAGCCUCACAAGCUCACUCUCACACUAAAACAUGCUCAUAUCUCCACACACACCCUCACAUGCUCAUCCUCUCACACACCCACACACCCACUCACCUUCACUCCCACUCCCACACAUGCUCACCCUCACACACUCACCCUCACACACUCACCUCACACACACACACCCUCACAUGCUCACCCUCACACACCCUCACAUACACCCUCACACCCUCACACUUCACACCCCUGCACUCACACACACAUCCCACCUUCACACUCACCUUCACACUCCACACCCCUGCACUCACACUCGCACUCACACUCCACACCCUGCCCUCACACUCACCUUCACUCACACUCCACACCCCACCCUCACCCUCACACCCCUGUCCUCACACUCACCUUCAUACUCACACACCA
rnacentral:lncRNA from 10 species